rnacentral:snoRNA from 1 species
CAUGUUUUCCAAUUAACCUGCCUUUGAGGCUCCUUAUUGGCUAAAGACACCUGAUCCAGGUAAUCAGCAGCAGGUGAGGCAGGAUUUCUGGAAAACCAGCAGGAUGCUGGCCCUCUAGGCCUGGAGUUUGACACUCCUGCUGCCUAAACA